rnacentral:rRNA from 1 species
UCCUAACCCUAAACUCUGCCAACUAGCGAUUCGUCGAUGGUAAUUUUGCCUUGAUGAGAAGCUAAUCGGAAACGAAAGUCUUCCGGUUCCGGGGGAAGUAUGGUUGCAAAGCUGAAACUUAAAGAAAUUGACGGAAGGGCACCACCAGGAGUGGAGCCUGCGGCUUAAUUUGACUCAACACGGGAAAACUCACCCGGCCCGGACACUGUAAGGAUUGACAGAUUGAAAGCUCUUUCUUGAUUCGGUGGUUGGUGGUGCAUGGCCGUUCUUAGUUGGUGGAUUGAUUUGUCUGGUUUAUUCCGAUUAACGAGCGAGACUCUAAUCUAUUAAAUAGAUGUCUUUAUUUCUUCGGAAGUGAAGUAUUCUUCUUAGAGAGACAAACAACGUUUAGUUGUACGAAAGAGAGCAAUAACAGGUCUGUGAUGCCCUUAGAUGUUCGGGGCUGCACGCGCGCUACACUGAAGAAAUCAACGUGUACGCUUCCAUUUUCGAGAGGAAUUGGUAAUCAUUUGAAAACUUUUCGUGCUUGGGAUAGUGAAUUGCUAUUAUUUCACUUAAACGAGGAAUUCCUAGUAAGUGUAAGUCAUCAACUUGCGUUG